UGAGGAAUUUUGCGCAAUGGGAGCAAUCCUGACGCAGCAACGCCGCGUGGGUGAUGAAGGCCUUCGGGUCGUAAAGCCCUGUCAGGUGGGAAGAAUGUCCUGGAAUUGAACAGGUUUCGGGAGUGACGGUACCACCAGAGGAAGCACCGGCUAACUCCGUGCCAGCAGCCGCGGUAAUACGGAGGGUGCAAGCGUUAUUCGGAAUUACUGGGCGUAAAGCGCGUGUAGGCGGUCCUGCAAGUCUGAUGUGAAAGCCCCGGGCUUAACCCGGGAAGUGCAUUGGAAACUGCAGGUCUUGAGUACUGGAGAGGAUGGGGGAAUUCCCGGUGUAGAGGUGAAAUUCGUAGAGAUCGGGAGGAAUAUCAGUGGCGAAGGCGCCAUCUGGACGGUAACUGACGCUGAGACGCGAAAGCGUGGGGAGCAAACA
rnacentral:rRNA from 1 species